CCAGCAGCCGCGGUAAUUCCAGCUCCAAUAGCGUAUAUUAAAGUUGUUGCAGUUAAAAAGCUCGUAGUUGAACUUCAGACCUGGCCGGGCGGUCUGCCUCACGGUAUGUACUGUCUGGCCGGGCCUUACCUCUUGGUGAGCCGGCAUGCCCUUCACUGGGUGCGUCGGGGAACCAGGACCUUUACCUUGAGAAAAUUAGAGUGUUCAAAGCAGGCCUAUGCCCGAAUACAUUAGCAUGGAAUAAUAAAAUAGGACGUGCGGUUCUAUUUUGUUGGUUUCUAGAGUCGCCGUAAUGAUUAAUAGGGAUAGUUGGGGGCAUUAGUAUUCAGUUGCUAGAGGUGAAAUUCUUGGAUUUACUGAAGACUAACUUCUGCGAAAGCAUUUGCCA
rnacentral:rRNA from 1 species